GAUGAACGCUGGCGGCGUGCCUAAUACAUGCAAGUCGAGCGAACGGACGAGAAUCUUGCUUCUCUCUUGUUAGCGGCAGACGUGUGUGUCACACGUGUAUCACCUCCCUGUAUUACUGGGAUAAUCUCGGGAAACCGGAUCUAAUACCGUAUGAUCUUUUGAACCGCAUGGGUCAAAAGUGAAAUACGGUCUUGCUGUCACUUAUAGCUGCUUCCGCGCUGCAUUAGCUAGUUGUUGAGUUAACGGCUUACCAAGGCAACGAUGCAUAACCGACUGGAGAGAGGGAUCGGCCGCACGGGAGCUGGGACACGGACAAGAGGCCUAAGGGACGCAGCAGUAGGGAAUCGUACGCAAUGGGCGAAAGCCUGACGGAGCAACGGCGAGUGAGAGACGGAAGUGUUCGGAGCGUAAAAAUGUGUUAUGAGGGAAAAACCUAUGUGUAAGUAAAUGUGCACAUCGUGACGGUACCGAAUAAGAAAGCAACGGCUAACUACGUG
rnacentral:rRNA from 1 species